rnacentral:rRNA from 1 species
AGUGAACGCUGGCGGUAGGCCUAACACAUGCAAGUCGAACGGCAGCACAGUAAGAGCUUGCUCUUACGGGUGGCGAGUGGCGGACGGGUGAGGAAUACAUCGGAAUCUACUUUUUCGUGGGGGAUAACGUAGGGAAACUUACGCUAAUACCGCAUACGACCUACGGGUGAAAGCAGGGGAUCUUCGGACCUUGCGCGAUUGAAUGAGCCGAUGUCGGAUUAGCUAGUUGGCGGGGUAAAGGCCCACCAAGGCGACGAUCCGUAGCUGGUCUGAGAGGAUGAUCAGCGACACUGGAACUGAGACACGGUCCAGACUCCUACGGGAGGCAGCAGUGGGCAAUAUUGGACAAUGGGCGCAAGCCUUAUCCAGCCAUACCGCGUGGGUGAAGAAGGCCUUCGGGUUGUAAAGCCCUUUUGUUGGGAAAGAAAAGCAGCAGGUUAAUACCCCGCUGUUCUGACGGUACCCAAAGAAUAAGCACCGGCUAACUUCGUG